rnacentral:rRNA from 1 species
GACGAACGCUGGCGGCGUGCUUAACACAUGCAAGUCGAACGGAAAGGCCCUGCUUUUGUGGGGUGCUCGAGUGGCGAACGGGUGAGUAACACGUGAGUAACCUGCCCUUGACUUUGGGAUAACUUCAGGAAACUGGGGCUAAUACCGGAUAGGAGCUCCUGCUGCAUGGUGGGGGUUGGAAAGUUUCGGCGGUUGGGGAUGGACUCGCGGCUUAUCAGCUUGUUGGGGGGGUAGUGGCUUACCAAGGCUUUGACGGGUAGCCGGCCUGAGAGGGUGACCGGACGAAUGGGGAAUUGGUGUGCGGCCCGGAGCCCAAGGGGGGCCGGUGGGGGGGAAUAUGGAACAAGGGGGGAAGGCUAUGUGCAGCAGCGCCGCGUGCGGGGGGGGGGCAUUGGGUUUGAACCCGCUUUUCGCCGGGGAGGGGGGGGGGGGGACGGUAAGGUGUAAAGAGGCCCCGGCUAACUACGUG